rnacentral:lncRNA from 1 species
UUAGUUGUUUCAUGUUGGAGGGUCCUUGUUACUUCAUCUGAAUCCAAAUGGGAGUGAUUUAUCUUUAUUACCUUAAAAUUUUAAUUUUUAUAUAGGUGAAUCAUUCCCAUGGUUUGAAAAUCAAAAAAUGUAAUAUGUAUUCAGUUGAGAUCUCCCUCUGAAUCCUUCCCACUACCAACCUAGUCCUCAUCCCCCCACCAGUAACAAACUUUGCUAUUAAUUUAUCUUUCCAGAAUUUCUUCAUUCAUAUGCAAGUAAAUAAAAAUUACAUAUCCUUUUUCACCUUUCACCUCCUUUUUCAUAGAAAGGUUGCAUAGUACACAUGCUAUUCUGAACCUUAUUUUUUUUCACUUAACCAUCUGUCUUGAGGAUAUUUCCUUAUUGGUGCAUACACUUCCU